UCUUACUGAGAUAUGUAUUCG
rnacentral:piRNA from 1 species